rnacentral:lncRNA from 1 species
CCGGGACCCGUCAGUCAGAGCCGCUCGGUGGGCGGGCUUUGCGCGGGGGCGGGGCCUGAGCGAGGGGCGGGGCUUGUCCACCUCCCCACCCGCACCACCUCCCCUCCACUGAGAGCUUCCACCAGCCGCUCGGCUGUCAGGCGCGGUGGCCAAGUGGAGUUCAGCCCCUCCUCUACCGGUUCGUGGCCAGAGCACUGUAACUCUUUCCAGAGGCCCCGCACAGCUGCUGAACUCCCUGCAUACUCUACCCUUCAACUCCGGUCUGGAUCCCGCGACGAAGGAUAUGGUCUCCUGUGUGUGUCCUGCCGGGAUUACUGAGGUUGGUUUAGCACCAACUAGCUUCUCUCUUCAAAACUAUACUAAAGGCUGGGUCCGGGCAAGCUGGGAGAAGUCACAGAGGGGAAUACCUCUCACCUUGCCAAUGUGGAAACUGAAGCCCACGGGGAGGGAAUCACCUGUGGAUGUCUUCGUGGGCGGUGAGGAAGUGAAGAAGGUUCCAUCUGUAGACAAACCUAGUGAUCCGAGUGACGUUUCCUGCAGUAAACGGUCCCUCCCUGGUGUUCCUCCCUCAUAAAAUUAUCUGGGCUAAGAGAAGACAUCAAGGACACUGGCUCCUCUAGGCUCCUGAAUCUCACAGAUCCAAAGGGUCUGUCAGACAUCAAUAAAAGGCAGCAUCACCGGCCA